GAUCCAUCCCUUCCCAGGCCUCAUUUAAGGCUUGGCAAUGGGGGUGAGGGUAUCUUGCUGGAGAUCCCUAUGCACCUGAGCUUUUCCAAAGAAGAAAUUCUGAAGAAUUUGUGUCAGAACAAUCAUUUGCCUCUAUCAUCUGAAUGCUCAUUUGAAGGAUACUGGAAACUGGAUUCAGUGCUCUGCUUUACAAAGAAGUAGAGCAGGUGACAGUAUGGUCCAAGACAUUAAACAUUCAGGAAGAUUCCACAUGUUACUGUAUCACAAUAGUUUUCCCUCACCCUACACUCCUUAUGUGUGCAAGCUGUAAACUGU